AGUACUGCUAGCAGUAGUGUUGGACAAUGGCGAGCAGCAGCGCAAGGAGCGGCGAUGCGGCUGAUGGGCGAGCUGUGGACCGGGCUGCUCGUCGAGCGGUGGCGUGUGUGGAUGGCCGAGCGACAACGCAGGCUGAAGGGUUCUAUUCUGCUGUGUUCUCCUUCUCAUGAAGGGUAAAGGAGGUGGGAGAUCCAUAUCGCUAGCUUCAUCCAAUGUCAAAUCCAUGUACCAGGCAAGCAGCCAAGAAUGCCUUCUCCCUGCCCGGCUAGAAGUUGGAUCCUUCCAAGAGGGAACCUCUCAGGAUUUUCUACGAGUCACUGUCCAAAAAGUACAUAUAUGUUUUCAUUCAUCUGAGUUUUAGAAAAAUUUGACAGAGGGAACCUCUCAGAAUUUUCUACGAGUCACUGCCCAAAAAGAUCCAAUCCAGUGAGAUGGCCGACUUCAGGGGGGUGGGAAGCAAUAUUGGAGGCGGUCUGAGUCAUGACAAUAAUCAUUCCAUUAAUGAUGAUGACGAUAACACCUAUGACAUCAAGGCAGGGGAUAUCUCGUGCGAUAAACAUUAUGAUCCAUAUGGCGAUGAAUGAGAUACUAACUCUGGCGAUGAUGGUGACUAGUUUAACAAUCUUAUUCAAGGCACGCAACAAAGCGAAGUUUUGAAGAUUGAGGGCAAUUUAGCUUAUGCAAAUUGCCUGAACCAUUAUAUCAUGCAUAGUUACUAUUUUGUUUUGCAUUCUACAUUCCCUAGAUGGAUCGCUAGGGUUAAUGUAAAUCGUAUGGAACUCAUUAGGCUUGUAGUACUUUCUUAGAUAUGCAAAAUAUAAUAUAUGUUUUUGGGUCA